UACGUAGGGUGCGAGCGUUGUCCGGAAUUAUUGGGCGUAAAGAGCUUGUAGGCGGUCUGUCGCGUCUGCUGUGAAAAUCCGGGGCUCAACCCCGGACUUGCAGUGGGUACGGGCAGACUAGAGUGUGGUAGGGGAGACUGGAAUUCCUGGUGUAGCGGUGGAAUGCGCAGAUAUCAGGAGGAACACCGAUGGCGAAGGCAGGUCACUGGGCCGCAACUGACGCUGAGGAGCGAAAGCAUGGGGAGCGAACAGG
rnacentral:rRNA from 1 species